GCAACCCUGAUCCAGCCAUGCCGCGUGCAGGACGACUGCCCUAUGGGUUGUAAACUGCUUUUGUUAGGGAAUAAACCCCGCUACGUGUAGCGGGCUGAAUGUACCUAAAGAAUAAGGAUCGGCUAACUCCGUGCCAGCAGCCGCGGUAAUACGGAGGAUCCGAGCGUUAUCCGGAUUUAUUGGGUUUAAAGGGUGCGUAGGCGGCACUUUAAGUCAGGGGUGAAAGACGGCAGCUCAACUGUCGCAGUGCCCUUGAUACUGAAGUGCUUGAAUGCGGUUGAAGACGGCGGAAUGAGACAAGUAGCGGUGAAAUGCAUAGAUAUGUCUCAGAACACCGAUUGCGAAGGCAGCUGUCUAAGCCGUUAUUGACGCUGAUGCACGAAAGCGUGGGGAUCGAACAGGAUUAGAUACCCUGGUAGUCCACGCCCUAAACGAUGAUGACUCGAUGUUUGCGAUAUACCGUAAGCGUCCAAGCGAAAGCGUUAAGUCAUCCACCUGGGGAGUACGCCCGCA
rnacentral:rRNA from 1 species